CAGUAGCCGCGGUAAUACGGAGGGCGCGAGCGCUACCCGGAUUUACUGGGCGUAAAGGGCGUGUAGGCGGCCUGGGUCGUCCAUGUGAAAGGCCACGGCUCAACCGUGGAGGAGCGUGGGAUACGCUCAGGCUAGAGGGUGGGAGAGGGUGGUGGAAUUCCCGGAGUAGCGGUGAAAUGCGCAGAUACCGGGAGGAACGCCGAUGGCGAAGGCAGCCACCUGGUCCACUUCUGACGCUGAGGCGCGAAAGCGUGGGGAGCAAACCGGAUUAGAUACCCCGGUAGUCCCUGUCUCUUAUACA
rnacentral:rRNA from 1 species